UGAGUAGCAAAAGCCAAAAGACAUGGAAGAAGGAUAUGCAUCCAAUGCCUAUCAGGAAAGUUGGUUCUCUCCUUUUCUUUUCACUUUACUUUUUUUCUUUUUCUUUUUGAAAGACUUGUAUAAGAAAAUAUCCAUAUAAGAAAAAAUAGUUGUCCACUUAAUUAUGUCAUUUGUUGGAGGAUUAAUCACCUAAACAGGCUAAACCCGUCAUAUAUAAUCUGACCGUAAAAGUUAUAGCUAUAAGAACUUAUAAUCAAUUGCUUUACUUUCCAGGUAUCCAGACCUCACUUUUAAUAUAUAAAGUGAGCUUGAUGAUCCCAACCUGCUCUCAUAAUAACAUGAAAUAAAGUUUAGGCCAUACGAAAAGUGCAAAUUGUCCUAUUUUUGUCAUGACUUUCUAUGAUAUUAUUGCAUUCUAUUAUGUAAAUAUAUAUAAAUAAUUAAAGGAAUUCUCAAUUUCCUAUUGGCAACAAAAGGUCCAAGAAAAGGGCAAAUGGAGCCUCCAAAAUUCCUAUUAUUAAGCUAAAGGGAAGCAAAAAGCGAAUGGUUGGUCCUAUUUGUCAGUGUACGGCCUUGAUUAACCCUUCUGUAUUAGAUAAGAUGAGAGGGCAGGCUUGAAAGCAACAAAACUUUAGUGGAAACCAAUGUACUAUUAGCAACUUACAUAUCAAGAUUCUUGGUUUAUUUUGACAGUUAAACUACCUUAAAUCUUACUCCUAUCCGGAUUGGAAUGUGAUAUAUUUUGG
rnacentral:lncRNA from 1 species